UACGGGGGGAGCAAGCGUUGUCCGGAAUUAUUGGGCGUAAAGAGCUCGUAGGCGGUUUGUCGCGUCUGCUGUGAAAACGCGAGGCUCAACCUCGCGCCUGCAGUGGGUACGGGCAGACUAGAGUGCGGUAGGGGAGAUUGGAAUUCCUGGUGUAGCGGUGAAAUGCGUAGAUAUCUGGAGGAACACCGGUGGCGAAGGCGGCAUCCUGGACCGGCAUUGACGCUGAGGCGCGAAAGCUAGGGGAGCAAACGGG
rnacentral:rRNA from 1 species